UACAGAGACUGCAAGCGUUAUUCGGAUUUACUGGGCGUAAAGGGCGCGCAGGCGGCUUUGUUUGUCAGGCGUGAAAGCCCCGGGCUUAACCUGGGAACUGCGUUUGAUACGGCAGGGCUAGAGUUCGGGAGAGGAGAGUGGAAUUCCCAGUGUAGAGGUGAAAUUCGUAGAUAUCGGGAGGAACACCAGUGGCGAAGGCGGUUACCUGGAGCUUUGCUGACGCUGAUUGCGCGAAAGCGUGGGGAGCGAGUCCGG
rnacentral:rRNA from 1 species